AAACAGUCCCUCGUCCCUCACCUGCUUACAGCUUCUCUGGGUUCUUCUUUGCCUAGUCUUUGGUUUUGAGAACACAACGAUGGACCAAACACGCUCAGUACCUUCGUCGUAUCUGGCCUGGUCAAUUUUCAACACCCUGUGCUGCUGUCUUCCACUUGGUGUGGUUGCAAUUAUAUUUUCCACCAGAGUGAAUAACGCAGUCGCCAGCGGGGACCUCACGACAGCAGAAUCCGCCUCACGGACCGCCAAAAUUGUGAACAUCGUCGCCCUGGUGAUAGGGCUUAUUUUCAUCAUCACAGUCGUCUCGAUCAACGUAAAGAAUCAAAAGCACUGAAGCAGGCGCAGAAUGGGAAUGCCGGGGUGUUUUUUUUUUUUGUUUUCACAGUCCUGGAGAAUUUCCAUGACAUUCCCAAUGGCACAUUUCCGUGCGUGAAUGCACGCUUGCUCACCCCUUGCUUGCCAGAAAAGUGCAUUUGUGCGAACAACACCAGAACCAUGAGGAGGUUUUGCUUGUCCAUCAGAUGCGCUUCACUCCUUGUGCAUUAAACUGAUGCUGUCUGAGCACUGUUUGAGAUCCA